GACGUAGGGAGCAAGCGUUGUCCGGAUUUACUGGGCGUAAAGAGCGCGUAGGCGGCUCGUUAAGUGUGAAGUGAAAUCUCCAGUGCUCAACACGGAAACUGCUUUACAUACUGGCGAGCUUGAGGAAAGCAGAGGUAACUGGAAUUCCUGGUGUAGCGGUGAAAUGCGUUGAUAUCAGGAGGAACACCCAUGGCGAAGGCAGGUUACUGGGCUUUAGUCUGACGCUGAGGCGCGAAAAGCGUGGGUAGCAAACAGG
rnacentral:rRNA from 1 species